UACGUAGGGGGCAAGCGUUGUCCGGAUUUAUUGGGCGUAAAGAGCGUGUAGGCGGCCAGGUAGGUCAGCUGUGAAAACUCGAGGCUCAACCUCGAACUUGCGGUGGGUACGGGCAGACUAGAGUGUGGUAGGGGAGACUGGAAUUCCUGGUGUAGCGGUGAAAUGCGCAGAUAUCAGGAGGAACACCGAUGGCGAAGGCAGGUCUCUGGGCCACUACUGACGCUGAGAAGCGAAAGCAUGGGGAGCGAACAGG
rnacentral:rRNA from 1 species